UACGGGGGCAGCAGUGGGGAAUAUUGCACAAUGGGCGCAAGCCUGAUGCAGCCAUGCCGCGUGUAUGAAGAAGGCCUUCGGGUUGUAAAGUACUUUCAGCAGUGAGGAAGGUGGGUAUGUUAAUAGCAUAUUCAUUUGACGUUAGCUGCAGAAGAAGCACCGGCUAACUCCGUGCCAGCAGCCGCGGUAAUACGGAGGGUGCGAGCGUUAAUCGGAAUUACUGGGCGUAAAGCGCAUGCAGGUGGUUUGUUAAGUCAGAUGUGAAAGCCCGGGGCUCAACCUCGGAAUUGCAUUUGAAACUGGCAAACUAGAGUACUGUAGAGGGGGUAGAAUUUCAGGUGUAGCGGUGAAAUGCGUAGAGAUCUGAAGGAAUACCGGUGGCGAAGGCGGCCCCCUGGACAGAUACUGACACUCAGAUGCGAAAGCGUGGGGAGCAAACAGGAUUAGAUACCCUGGUAG
rnacentral:rRNA from 1 species